GAAAUGCGAUAAGUAAUGUAAAUUGCAGAAUUCAGCGAAUUAUCGAAUCUUUGAACACACAUUGCGCCCGCCAGCACUCUGGCGGGUAUACCUAUUCGAGCGUCAUUUCCACCAUCAAGCCCCCGGGCUUAUAUUGGGGCCCUGCGGCUGCCCGCAGGCCCUGAAAACCAGUGGCGGGUUCACCACCACGCCCGAGCGUAGUAGUUCAUCCCUCUCGCUCGGGGCACACCACGGUAUUCCCGGCCGUUAAACACAACACUAAACAGAAAGGUUAACCUCGGAUCAGGUAGGAAUACCCACUGAACUUAA
rnacentral:misc_RNA from 1 species